CAUCCAAGGACGGCAGCAGGCGCGAAAAUUACCCACUCCCGGCACGGGGAGGUAGUGACGAAAAAUACGAAUACGGGACUCAAUUGAGGCUCCGUAAUUCGAAUGAGUACAAUUUAAAUCCUUUAACGAGGACCAAUUGGAGGGCAAGUCUGGUGCCAGCAGCCGCGGUAACUCCAGCUCCAAAAGCGUAUAUUAAAGUUGCUGCAGUUAAAAAGCUCGUAGUUGAACCUGGGUUGUGCGGUCGCAUGCCGUUGCUUGUUCGCGGUUUUGGUUACGAUCAGAACUUGUGUUCGGCUCGGUGUAGUGGCUGUGCAGCCUUUCAGCCGUAUCUGUGUAAACGGGUGCUGACGGAGAUGGGUGAGCUUGUCUUGCCCGCUAUCUGUUGGCAUGCUUCCGGAUGCCUUUAACCGGGUGUCGGGAGCGGACGGCAUCUUUACUUUGAACAAAUUUGAGUGCUCAAGGCAGGCCUUUGUGCCUAGAAAUUCUUGCAUGGAAUAAUGAAAUAGGACUUCGGUUCUAUUUUGUUGGUUUUC
rnacentral:rRNA from 1 species